rnacentral:rRNA from 1 species
GGAUUAGGCAUGCAAGUCGAGCGAGAAAGCGGUAGCAAUACUGCGAGUAAAGCGGCGAAAGGGUGAGUAAUACGUAGGUAACCUACGCCUCGGACUGGGAUAAUUCCUGGAAACGGGUUGUAAUACCAGAUGGUCUGGUUGGUCUGCAUGGGCUGAUCAGUAAAUGGUACCAUUGGUUCUGCCGAGGAAGGGGCCUAUGUCCCAUUAGCUAGUUGGUAGGGUAACGGCCUACCAAGGCUUUGAUGGGUAGCCGGACUGAGAGGUUGGCCGGUCACACUGGGACUGAGACACUGCCCAGACUCCUACGGGAGGCUGCAGUCGAGAAUCUUCCGCAAUGGGCGCAAGCCUGACGGGGCGACGCCGCGUGAACGAUGAAGGCCUUCGGGUUGUAAAGUUCUGUCACGAGGGAAGAACCGCUGGGGGUUAACAGCCUUCCAGCCUGACGUUACCUCGGGAGGAAGCCAUGGCUAACUCCGUGCCAGCAGCCGCGGUAAUACGGAGAUGGCAAGCGUUGUUCGGAUUUACUGGGCAUAAAGCGCACGUAUGCGGAGUCAUAAAGUCGGUUGUGAAA